GAUUGAAGGAAGCAAGGUAAUAAGCACAAAAAAUGAAUCGUGUCUAUAGGCUUGCUUUUAAUGCCUUCCGGUUUUGAUUUUGGGGCAUGGUUCCAUAGCAUAACG